rnacentral:rRNA from 1 species
GAACGGCAUAGAGAGGGAAUGCUCUAUGAGUGACGGUACCUUACCAGAAAGCCACGGCUAACUACGUGCCAGCAGCCGCGGUAAUACGUAGGGGGCAAGCGUUAUCCGGAAUUAUUGGGCGUAAAGGGUGCGUAGGCGGCGAGAUAAGUCUGAGGUAAAAGCCCGUGGCUCAACCACGGUAAGCCUUGGAAACUGUCUGGCUGGAGUGCAGGAGAGGACAAUGGAAUUCCAUGUGUAGCGGUAAAAUGCGUAGAUAUAUGGAGGAACACCAGUGGCGAAGGCGGUUGUCUGGCCUGUAACUGACGCUGAAGCACGAAAGCGUGGGGAGCAAAUAGGAUUAGAUACCCUAGUAGUCCACGCCGUAAACGAUGAGAACUAAGUGUUGGGGAAACUCAGUGCUGCAGUUAACGCAAUAAGUUCUCCGCCUGGGGAGUAUGCACGCAAGUGUGAAACUCAAAGGAAUUGACGGGGGCCCGCACAAGCGGUGGAGUAUGUGGUUUAAUUCGACGCAACGCGAAGAACCUUACCAGGCCUUGACAUGGUAUCAAAGGCCCUAGAGAUAGGGAGAUAGUUAUGGUACACACAGGUGGUGCAUGGUUGUCGUCAGCUCGUGUCGUGAGAUGUUGGGUUAAGUCCCGCAACGAGCGCAACCCUUGUUUCUAGUUACCAACAGUAAGAUGGGGACUCUAGAGAGACUGCCGGUGACAAACCGGAGGAAGGUGGGGAUGACGUCAAAUCAUCAUGCCCCUUAUGGCCUGGGCUACACACGUACUACAAUGGCGUCUACAAAGAGCAGCGAGCAGGUGACUGUGAGC